UACGGAAGGCAGCAGUGGGGAAUAUUGCACAAUGGGCGAAAGCCUGAUGCAGCUAUGCCGCGUGUAUGAAGAAGGCCUUAGGGUUGUAAAGUACUUUCAUCGGGGAGGAAAAACAAAACUAAUAAUUUUAUUUCUUGACGUUACCCGAAAAAGAAGCACCGGCUAACUCCGUGCCAGCAGCCGCGGUAAUACGGAGGGUGCUAGCGUUAAUCAGAAUUACUGGGCGUAAAAGAGCACGUAGGUGGUUUUUUUAAGUCAGAUGUGAAAUCCCUGGGCUUAACCUAGGAACUGCAUUUUGAAACUGAAAUACUAGAGUAUCGUAGAGGGAGGUAGAAUUCUAGGUGUAGCGGUGAAAUGCGUAGAUAUCUGGAGGAAUACCUGUGGCGAAAGCGGCCUCCUAAACGAAUACUGACACUGAGGUGCGAAAAGCGUGGGGAGCAAACAGGGAUUAGAUACC
rnacentral:rRNA from 1 species